UUUAUGGAGAGUUUGAUCCUGGCUCAGGACGAACGCUGGCGGCGUGCCUAAUACAUGCAAGUCGAGCGGACUAAUUAAGAGCUUGCUCUUAUGACGUUAGCGGCGGACGGGUGAGUAACACGUGGGCAACCUGCCC
rnacentral:rRNA from 1 species